GUUCUACCUUGACGAAUUGUAGUUUAAAGAAGUGUUUUCUGUUAGAGGAGUAGCAAAAGUUCCUUGGAAUGGGACAUCAUAGAGGGUGAGAAUCCCGUAGUUGGUUAUUCUUUCUAGCUUUGUGAUACACUUUCAAAGAGUCGGAUUGUUUGGGAAUGCAGUCCAAAAUGGGUGGUAAAUUUCAUCUAAAGCUAAAUAUUGGCGAGAGACCGAUAGCGAACAAGUACCGUGAGGGAAAGAUGAAAAGAACUUUGAAAAGAGAGUUAAACAGUACGUGAAAUUGUCAAAAGGGAAGCGUUUGACACCAGUGUUGUUUUUCCGAAAAUCAAUUAAGAAGGGCUUGAUUUUGUGUUGUAUUGACCUUAUCAGCUUUCUUCACUCUUUUUCGAGUCUUUCUU
rnacentral:rRNA from 1 species